CUGCCCGAUUUCAAGUACGGACUAUUUUCCAAUCGUCUAUUGACUCUAUUUUCUUAUAUGCUGGGUCUCAUUCCGUUGGAAAAUUUAUUGUUUAGGGUUUUGAUUUUGGUACCUUUACUCAUCGUUUUUAGGGAUUUGAAAAUUAGUUUCUUCAAAGGGUCGCCAAGGUUGAAUCUUUGAUGUGAUUUGUUUCGAGACAGGGCAUUUUUUUAGUUGGCUCUUGAAGCUUGAUAUUGAGCAAAUAUCUUCUGGAGUCCAAAUACUUGAAUAUAUUCAAGUCUAUUGAAAAUGCCUAGGGAUUUGUCACGAUCAAGGUCAAGGUCUCCCUCAUAUAGGCGAAGGCGUUCGCCAUCGCCAGUGGGACAUAGGCAUAGCAGGAGGAGCCGAAGGGACAGGAGCCGAUCUCCAUAUUCAUCCUACUCUUACAGCAGCAGGUGAUCCCGUUUAUGUUCUUGCUAUUUAGUUGAUGUAUUUAAUUCUCGAGGAAGUGUAAGAAAGACUGACGGCUUUUUUUUUUUUUUUAUUACCGAUUGGAAAUACAAAUUUUUCAAGUUGAUUUGUACGCAUCUUAUCCUUCUUGAUUGAUCUUUUUGGUGCUUAUCUAACCAAUCCUUUGUUUUUUACCACGUGAUCUAUAUGGUUUUGCUUAAGAGUUUUAUGUUGGAUGGCAUCUCAUUUUAAUUACUGAAAAUGUGAAGCUAAAUAACUUGAAUGCCAACUCAAGGCAUGAUGAUGCAAAAGCACAAAUGGGGAACAUUGCCUUAGUUAUUUGAUGAAUGAAUGUUUUUCCUUUCAUUUUUAAUCUUGUUUAUGUAAAAAUGUUUUUCAAGUUAUUUUGUUUCAGGUUAGCAAAGUGGAAGUUUUUCAUAGGGUAAUUAGAUAUGCAUUCUAAUAUUAUUCUGGUGUAACCCUAUUUCAUAUGUCAAAGUUCACCUGGCAAUUUAGUUAGAGCAUUCCACUGAAAGCAGCUUUGAAUUGGAUUCUAUAUCAAGUUGCUAUUUGGCUUCUUUGUUUUCUUCUUUCAGUGGAUGGAAAUGGAUAAUUUGGUUGUUUAAUCAAGUAUCUUUAUGCAAAUUUUCAGUUCAGAAAGACUUCUUAUAUGGGUGCCAUGAGUAUUUUCUAGAUGCAUAGGAGUCAAUAUUUGACAACCCUCAUGCGAAUACUCAAGCCUUUAUUUCAUCUGAAAUUUUUAUAGUUAUGUUUGUAAACAAAUAGUCAAUGUCACUAUCUCAGUGGGGGCAUCUGCUUUUUGAGGAAUUGCCAUUUACAUGGAGAAGUUGAAUGGAAACAAAAUAUAAUUUUUUGGGGGAGAAAAGUGCAAAGGGUGCCAUAGUUUUCAUGCUAAGAAAAUUUUAAAAACUUGUUUCUUCUCAUCGAGUGGGAUGGGAAAUGAGCAGGUGAUGGGUGCCGAUCGGUGUCCUUUUGUUGCUCGAUUCUGAUAUUACUUUCUUCAUAUGAUAAAAGAUGGAGCACACAAUGGUUAUUCUUAACAAUGAAUGAGGUAACUGUAUAUGCUUCUAUUUUAAUUGUGGUAAAUGGUGAGAGGAUUCCCAAGUUAUUGUGUACACUAGUGAUUCAUUCUGCUUGCUGUUGUUGCUCAUAAUUUCUUUUGUAUCAUACAGAAGGAGAAGUCGUUCUGUUUCUCCACGCCGACGCAAAAGUCGUUCUCCAACACCAAGACGUCGUAAAAGUCGUUCUCCAACUCCAAGGCGUUAUAAGAAACAAAGGAGUAGGAGUUCCUCAUUGACUCCCACUCAUAAAUCCUCUAGUCCAAGUCUUGGGUUAGUGGAACGCAAAAUUGUUAGUGAAAAAUUGAGAAAAGAAGAAGAAGAAGAGAAGAAGAGGCUUUUCUGAAGGAAGAUACUGCUAUAGUUCAACUUGUUAUAUUUGAUGAUGAAAUUGGGUGCUUCGUUUAUCUACUGUUCACCAGUUUUGAUACUCAUUUGUUUGGAUCAGGAUUCGGUUAGAGGUAUGCUGUAGUUCAUCGUGAUGCAUAAGUAUAAUUGUAGUACCUUUUGUCACCUGAAGGUUAGUUUACAAUUUACUAUAGUUAACAAUAAGUGGAGUGAGAGUUGAAAAAAUAUAUAAUGAAAAAGAAAGGGAGCUUGAAUGUCAUAUGUUGUUUUAGUUUUACUUUUAUGUGGAUCUGAAGACGUUUGAAAAUGACGGCAAUUUCCACACCUCUGUAAGUGGCCAUUUUCUGGAUUAAUUUGUUUCAUUUAUUCUCAGGCGCCAGCAGGAAGCUGAACUGAAACUGAUAGAAGAAGAGACAGCAAAGCGGGUAGAAGAAGCUAUUCAGAGGAAAGUUGAAGAGAGCUUGAAUUCAGAGGAGAUCAAGCUGGAAAUUCAGAGACGUUUGGAGGAGGGAAGGAAAAGACUUCACGAGGAAGUGGCCAUUCAGCUUGAGAAAGAAAAAGAAGCUGCUCUUAUUGAGGCCAGGAGAAAAGAGGAACAAGCUCGAAAAGAGAAAGAAGAGCUGGAAAAAAUGCUUGAAGAAAACCGGAGGAGGGUGGAAGAAUCACAGAGAAAGGAAGCUUUAGAACAGCAGCGGAGAGAGGAGGAACGAUAUCGAGAACUAGAAGAGCUCCAAAGACAGAAGGAGGAAGCAAUGAGAAGGAAAAGACAGCAAGAGGAGGAAGAACGUGUAAACCAGAUAAAAUUGUUGGGAAAGAACAAGUCUCGGCCGAAGUUGUCUUUCGCAAUCACAAAAUGAAUACUUGAGCAGAAAGAUCUAAAUUCAUUAUAUUUACAUGUUGGACUUCAUUUUCCUGUUUGCAUUUGUAAUUUGAAGAUUUUGCAAUGGUUAAUACUGUUUAUGGUGUUUGAGUGUACCCCAUAGGAUUAUCAAAGCAUGGUUUUGAUGGGCCAGGGAAGUCAGUGAACUUUGCUUCUUGGGUUCUCGAUAUGCCUCAUUUUUGCUUUAAUGGGUUGUGAAAUUCAGUCCUGGAAGGUUUCCUUUUCA